rnacentral:lncRNA from 1 species
GCUGGAGGAGACAAGAACGAGCCGCGGAAAAUAGCCAUUAAUCAAAGAGAACUAGUAAGGAAUAACAGGCUGAUCCUAAAAAAGAAGAAAAAAAAACACGCUAAACCGAUUACAAACACACCUUUAUUACAAGAUUCCCUUCCCAAACACUUAUAAGCGACAUAUUAUUUUUUAAAGCUGACAUAAACAUAUAUUUCAUGUCUGUUAUGACUUAUGAGCUGCCCGUAGACCCAUGUUUGCAUCGGUUGUAGAUGGUACAUUGGCUGUUCUGCUGACUAUAGAUUGCGGUGCAGAAACGAUUCAUUGAAGAAGGACAUGCUGCCGGACGGUUCAUGGUGGAAUAGGCUAAAUAUUUCUUCUUAUCCGGCACAAGGGAGACCCAAAUUACUUCUUCACUAUCUUCAUGAACACCCGUGAGAUUUUGCCAGCCAUUUAGCAUAUUCCCUGAGGUUGCAACGGCAAGGAGCAGAAGGACGGAAAAAGCUAUUGACUUCAUUUGUCCAACUAUUUGUCUGGCUUUUUUAUCUUUGGUGUGAGAAGGGAUAGGGAAGA